rnacentral:rRNA from 1 species
GACGAACGCUGGCGGCGUGCUUAACACAUGCAAGUCGAACGGAAAGGCCCUGCUUUUGUUGGGUGCUCGAGUGGCGAACGGGUGAGUAACACGUGAGUAACCUGCCCUUGACUUUGGGAUAACUUCAGGAAACUGGGGCUAAUACCGGAUAGGAGCUCCUGCUGCAUGGUGGGGGUUGGAAAGUUUCGGCGGUUGGGGAUGGACUCGCGGCUUAUCAGCUUGUUGGUGGGGUAGUGGCUUACCAAGGCUUUGACGGGUAGCCGGCCUGAGAGGGGGACCGGCCACAUGGGGACUGAGAUACGGCGCAGACUCGUACGGGAGGCAGCAGUGGGGAGUAUUGCGCAAUGGGCGGAAGCCUGAGGCAGCAACGCCGCGUGCGGGAUGACGGCCUACGGGUUGUAAACCGCUGUGGCCGGUGACGAAGCGGGAGUGACGGUAAUGGGUAAAGAAGCACCGGCUAACUACGUG